UGGAAGUAAAAGUCGUAACAAGGUUUCCGUAGGUGAACCUGCGGAAGGAUCAUUACCGAGUGAGGGCCCUCUGGGUCCAACCUCCCACCCGUGUUUAUUUUACCUUGUUGCUUCGGCGGGCCCGCCUUUACUGGCCGCCGGGGGGCUCACGCCCCCGGGCCCGCGCCCGCCGAAGACACCCUCGAACUCUGUCUGAAGAUUGAAGUCUGAGUGAAAAUAUAAAUUAUUUAAAACUUUCAACAACGGAUCUCUUGGUUCCGGCAUCGAUGAAGAACGCAGCGAAAUGCGAUACGUAAUGUGAAUUGCAAAUUCAGUGAAUCAUCGAGUCUUUGAACGCACAUUGCGCCCCCUGGUAUUCCGGGGGGCAUGCCUGUCCGAGCGUCAUUGCUGCCCUCAAGCCCGGCUUGUGUGUUGGGCCCCGUCCUCCGAUUCCGGGGGACGGGCCCGAAAGGCAGCGGCGGCACCGCGUCCGGUCCUCGAGCGUAUGGGGCUUUGUCACCCGCUCUGUAGGCCCGGCCGGCGCUUGCCGAUCAACCCAAAUUUUUAUCCAGGUUGACCUCGGAUCAGGUAGGGAUACCCGCUGAACUUAAGCAUAUCAAUAAGCGGAGGAA
rnacentral:rRNA from 1 species